AUUCUCAAAAGCGCUGCUAGAGGCCCAUAUUAGCCAGCGCUUGCUAAAUGCAUACCUUAGCCAGCGCUUUUUCUCCAAAGCGCUGUCUUAGGCGAAUUAUAUUAAAACUAUUAAAAAAUAUAUUCUAAUCCCAAACGAAAAACCCUUACUUUUCUAUUCUGUAUCGUUCUUCUUCUCUCUCAGACGAAUAACCCUAGAAAUCGAACCCAAAUCUUCUCCAUCCAUUUCAACAGCUAUUCCAUCAACAUUCCAUCUCUACUUUUUUUCAACUUAAAAUUGCAUUUCGUUUUCGCGACCAACAUAUUUGAAGGAAAUUUCAUUUCGUUUUCGCGACCUAAAGUUCAAACUGUGAGGAAUUUCGCAGAAUUUCUCGUGCCAUACGCAUUCCAAAUUGAUUUCUUGAUCGUGAUUCACGACUUCACACAUUUUCCAACUGAAUUUGUUUGAGAUUCCCUCCUUCACGCUUCAGAUUUUGUGGUUUUUGUAGUGUUCAUGAUUAGCACCUUCACAAGACACAGUUCAAAUUAUUGUCUCUGAUUAUUUGAUGUUCAACUGAAACCAGUCAGACCGCCGUCACCAGCAAACCACUGCUCCUCGCCAGAAAAUCGCCGCUCAGUUAACUGUCGUAAACGCCUCCACAGGUUAAUUAGAUGGCUAGUAACGAGGAUCAACCACAUGAUGAUGAUAUUGAUGAUGGAGAUCAUGAGAACAUUGUUGAUCAGGAAGCGGAAAUUAGAAGAGGAAUAACACUUAUGAAGAAAGUCAUUUGGAAUAGAGACCGAGGCAUACUAUUAGAUGCGCAUUGGAGCGAAAGUGACCUACUAAUUGAGCCUAACGGUUCAAAGAUUACAAGUUUUAUUGGUGCACUCGUAAGGAAUGCAAUUCCAAUUACUUGUGAUGAUUGGAGAGAUACAAAUUUGGAAGAAGCUAAAGACAAACUUUGGAUUGAGAUACAGGUACCAUAUGUGAUGUUAUUUGUUUUUAAUGAUG